rnacentral:rRNA from 1 species
GACGAACGCUGGCGGCGUGCUUAACACAUGCAAGUCGAACGAAGAGCGAUGGAAUCUUGCUUCUAUCAAUCUUAGUGUCGAACGUGUGAGUAACGCGUAAUCAACCUGCCCUUCAGAGGGGGACAACAGUUGGUAACGACUGCUAAUACCGCAUACGAUCCUACCUCGGCAUCGUGGAUGGAUUAAAGGUGUCCUCUAUUUAUAAGCUUUCACUUCAGUUGGGGUUUGCGUCUGAUUAGCUAGUUGGAGGGGUAACGUCCCACCAAGGCAAUGAUCAGUAGCCGGUCGGAGAGGAUGAACGGCCAAAAUGGGAAUGAGACACGGCACAGAAGGCUACGGGAGGCAGCAGUGGGGAAUCUUCCGAAAAGGACGAAAGUCUGAAGGAGAAACGCCGCGUGAGUGAUGACGGCCUUCGGGUUGGAAAGCUCUGUUAAUCGGGACGAAAGGUCUUCUUGCGAAUAGUUAGAAGAAUUGACGGUACCGGAAUAGAAAGCAACGGCUAACUACGUG